ACAUGCAAGUCGAGCGGUAACAGACAUAAAGAUUCAGCUUGCUGAAUCCGGUGCUGACGAGCGGCGAACGGGUGAGUAACGCGUAGGAAUCUACCCAGUAGCGGGGGAUAGCCCGAGGAAACUCGGAUUAAUACCGCAUACGCCCUGAGGGGGAAAGGGGGCAGUUUACUGCUCUCACUAUUGGAUGAGCCUGCGUAAGAUUAGCUUGUUGGUGGGGUAAUGGCCUACCAAGGCGACGAUCUUUAGCUGGUCUGAGAGGACGAUCAGCCACAUUGGGACUGAGACACGGCCCAGACAUCUACGGAUGGCAGCAGUUAAGAAUAUUGGACAAUGGGGGCAACCCUGAUCCAGGUAUACCGCGUGUGUGAAGAAGGCCCUAGGGUUGUAAAGCACUUUAAUCAGAGAAGAAGCAUUUUAAGUUAAUACCUUAAUAUGUUGACGUUACCUGAAGAAUAAGGACCGGCUAACUCCGUGCCAGCAGCCGCGGUAAUACGGAGGGUCCAAGCGUUAAUCGGAAUUACUGGGCGUAAAGCGCGCGUAGGCGGUUUAGCAAGUUGUAUGUGAAAGCCCUGGGCUCAACCUAGGAACUGCAUCCAAAACUACUAAGCUAGAGUACGAGAGAGGAGAGUAGAAUUUCUGGUGUAGCGGUGAAAUGCGUAGAUAUCAGAAGGAAUACCAAUGGCGAAGGCAGCUCUCUGGCUCGUCACUGACGCUGAGGUGCGAAAGCGUGGGUAGCAAACAGGAUUAGAUACCCUGGUAGUCCACGCCGUAAACGAUGAGAACUAGCCGUUGGGCAGAUUUAACUGUUCAGUGGCACAGCUAACGCAUUAAGUUCUCCGCCUGGGGAGUACGGCCACAAGGCUAAACUCAAAUGAAUUGACGGGGGCCCGCACAGUGGUGAGCAUGUGUUUAAUUCGAUGCAACGCGAAGACCUUACCAACCCUUGAAUCUAGCGAAGUUCACAGAGAUGAGAUGUGCCUUCGGACGCUAUGACAGUGUGCAUGCUGUCGUCAGCUCGUGUCGUGAGAUGUAUGGUAGUCCAGUACGAGCGCAACCCCUAUCCUUAUUU
rnacentral:rRNA from 1 species